rnacentral:ncRNA from 1 species
CAAACCAGGGGAAAGGGCGCUACGUCCGCUGGAUUAGCACUAACGCCUAUGAGGUGGUAUUCGGGCUGGUUUGCAAUAUAAAUAAAGGGGCAAUUUGGCAUUGAAGGCUUAUAAAACCAUUAAAGGUUUUUAAUUGGUAUAUAACGGACAAUGGAUGUGAUGCCAAUGUUAUUUAUAACCAUAGUAAAAUUGGGAGGAUCUUCGAUCACCUGAUGCCGCGCUAGUUAUAUUUUAAAACAUUAUUUAAUACAAUGUCAAAGCCUAGAAUCAAUUGUAAACGACUUUUGUAACAGGCAAGGUGUUGUAAGUGGUUGAGCAGCUGCCAUACUGCGAUCCACUGAAGCUUAUCCUUUGCUUGAUGAUUCGA